rnacentral:lncRNA from 1 species
GUCAGGGAAGGAAAGCCGGCCACCUCCAGGGCACCCUCCUCAUUCAAGAUGCAGAAAGAAGAGAUGAUGGCUCCCCUCAAGUUCCUUCCUGCCCGAAGCCACCAGGGUUCAUUCUGUGGUCUAACUGCUAGCCCUCUACUGACAGACGGCCUUCCCUGCCACCUCCUACCAGGACAACAUGCUGGAAGGCCAGGUCUGGUACCCUGAACCCAGGAGCUUAAAGAGAGGGCACCCCAAGACUUAAGCGUGCAACUGGCAGUAGCUGUCUCUCGCACUUCACACACACAAGAGCGCUAAGCCCAGACCCCAGCGAUGGCAGGACUCAAAGUAGAAUUAGGCCCUGAGUCACAGCCUGGCAUGAGCGUGCCUGACCAAGACUGGCCAGCUUGUCCAGAGGUGAGACUUGGGUCACAAGCCAUCGUCCUACCUCCAAUGCCAGAACCUUCAGCCAGGUCUUACCUCCAGAGGUCGUCUCCAUUCCUGACCUUCACAGGCCCAUUAGGGCCUGCGGCCCGGGCCAGACUUGUACUCCACAGCCUGCAAAGCCAGAGGGCCAGGCUGUCUGCACCACUCCCCAUGAAGCACAUGACACCGCGGCUGCCUUUUGUGGUGCCCUCCCCGCCUCACUUAACCGAUUCACUGAUCCACCUAAGUGGCCAGGUCCCCUACCAGCCAGCCUGGGAGGACUCCCGGGGGCGGGGUUGAAGCCCAGGAGGAACAGAGAGCUAGGCGCUUUAAUUGGAGAACAAGCGCUUAGUGACUCCAGACACAGACACCCAGUCACAACGCACAAAGGCACCCACAACUGGGCCAGCCAGCCGUCAUGACCACCAUCCUGGCAGCCACUCUUGAUGGCAGACAAAUCCUUCACAAGCCAUUUUGUCCAGGGUUAGGAGAAAGAGUCUUAUCCUGAGGAAGUGGGCCCAAGGGAGGGGGUCCCUUAUGUACCUAAGACAUGACCUUCUUUGUUACAAUGCCUUUCAGAAGUCCCCAAGUGCUGGCUCUUGCAGAAGGACCUACCCAGGCAGUAUGGACUCUCAACGAUGG